rnacentral:lncRNA from 1 species
AUUCUGUUCUACAUUUUCCCUAGCAAAUCCAAUUAUAGAAUUAUUUGGGGGCUCAAAUGGCCACUGGCUACAAUGGAGCAGGCAAUUGCUCUAGAGAGUAAUUCUGUCUGACAGGAAGGUUUACAAAAAGGCAUUCAUAAAGUAUUUACGCUAGUGGGAAGACAUGCUGUUCUCACCAUGUUGUCACAGUUUCUGAAAAGACAAAGAAAUAAAAGCGGCUCCGCCUCUCCCUGCUGUGAAGUGUUCAUGUGGGGACUAGGUUUGAAAAAGGCCUGACUUCCUGCAAUGUUGAGGUGCAGUAUUGUUAGAAACUGCUGUCACGUGCAUUUGAGCCUCCAGCAUUUGAGCCUCCAGCUUGUCACCGUUUACCUGAGGUUGCAGUGAUGGUGGGGUUCAGAGGAGGUCACUUAGCAUCAAAGUGGUCCAGUCCUCACCAGCUUGUGCUUCAUGCUCUGGUUUGGACUGUGUCAGGCUCUAUUCUUUGACCUGAUUAUCCCUUUGGAAAGUGACUACCUUAGCUUUCGUCAUUGUAGACACCCAUAGAAUUUUUCCUGCUUAUUCAGAUGCUUCUUUGGUCCUCUUUUGGCUCUGUCCUAAUGUGAAUGGUGAUAUUAAUAGAGAUGGUCAUAGCAGGAACAAUAACAAUGUAGGUAAUUUUUAUUGAGUGAACGAAGAUUCGGUGAAGUUAUGUGAUUAUGCUGAGGUCUUAUAGCUAUUACAAAACCAGAGCCAUAGUUCAGCCUGGGGCCUCUGAUAGUGAAGAAUAGAGGAAGAUGGUGGAGAGAUACAUUUAUGAAUUUAAAAAAAUUAUAUGACAUUCUCCUAAGUAGAUCAUUAGCAGGAGAAAAAGGUAGUGCUGUAGAGUAAGAAGAGUGGGAACUUCUGGGAGAAUUGGCCAUACCUUGUCUACAAGGAGCUUAAACAUUUCAGGUAGUUGGUGUAUAGUAGGAUGCUUUCAGCUGCAGAUAAGAAAAUCUGAGUAAAACAGGCAUAAACAAGAGGGUUUAUGUUUUCUUACAUAACAGGAACUCUAGAGGCAAGAAGUCACGAGGCAGGUUUUAUGGCUCGGUAACAGUAAGGUUUGGGGCUGGUGUCUGUGAUGACUGUGGUAAUUAUCAGCCUUCCAUCCUCUGUAGGAAGUGUCCAAAACAUGGGGAGGGAAAGGCUGGGCUUCUUUCUGGCCUUCUGUUUUUAAGGGGUGGAAAAUCUUUCCCUGACCCGCAGCAGGCUUCCUUUUGGGUCUUGGUGGCCCGAAGGGGCCCCUGACCAUGUUCUCACUUCAAGGUGUCUGGGAGAACAGGGGUCUGGCAGCUUGGUUGUUGUGUAGGGAGUGUUCUCAGUCGGCAUGGAGGCUGGGAGGGGAAUGUCGGCCUGCUGCAUGGAGAAGGCAGCUGCGAAUGUGAACAUUAUAAUGGUGUGGAUGAGAGAGCUGGGUGUGUGUGUGUGUGUGUGUGUGUGUGUGUGUGUGUGUGUGUGUGGAGCUGUCCAGCAGGAGGUGUCAUCUGAGCUGGAUUUAGGGGAAGGAUGAGAUUUUAGCGGACAGACAAGAGCUUGGUGAGGUAUUUAUGGAGGAGAAAGUGACCUCCAACCCAGUCUGUCUAGCUUUAGACUCUAAUGUUUACAUUACACACUUAGAGGCAGUGAAUUUGAGCCAAGAAUAGAAAGAGUGUGCCUCUGACGGAUGAAGAGGAUGGUGAGCAUUCUACACAAAGGGAGAGUGUCAUUCUGCAGUCAGGAAGGGCUGUGACCACAUGGGCAGACAUGGCCCAGGCACUCGGGUGUGAGUGGACAUGGAGUGGGGUUUGCUACAGUUGGAGCUGGCCUGUAGAGAUCCCCAGAUUCUAGACGGAGAAGUGUGGGCCUUGCAUUUAGUUUGUCCCAUUGUCUUUUGGGAUUGUGUGUAGGAUGAUAACCCCAUUGGCAGAAGCUGGGAGGGAGGUCUAGAGCAAGAUGUUAAAGCCUGAACCUUAUGGACACAAGAGUUGGUCAGGGUCCAAGGCAUUUUGGAGGAAGAAUCAGCUAUCGGGAUGGCCUGAUUGGGCAGUGGGGCAAAGAGGAGUUUAGUAUGGCUUGCUUGGUGUCAGGUGCUGGCUUGGGUGAGGGAUUGUGCUGAUACCAUCAUCUGGGGCAUGGAACAGAGGGGAGAGAAAGGUCUGGAGGGGGCCGAGUUACCUCAGGCCGUGUAGGGAGCUGGCUGUAGAGGUUGAGACUGUCUCCCACUCCUCUCACCCUGGCCCAGGUCUCUGCUUUGUUCAUCUUUAGGGCAGGUUAAGAUAUGGGAAGCCCUCUCUUGCCUCCUCGUUUAAGCCCACUCUCAGUUCCCUUUAGGCUCUGGCAAUACCUUAUGUAGGCCACAGAGGAAUUUCCAUUGCAUGUUUCAUUUCCUCGUUGUUAAAAUUGCUGUCUAGGAGGUUCCAUCCUGUUUAUGUGUGUUUUUGUAGGUUCUACAAACAUUUUUGCAUAUGGUUCAGAGCUGCACAAUUCUCUGACAUCAGAAAUACAUUUCCUGAGGAAGCAGAACCAGGAGCUCAACAUGAUGCUAGUGAAGGGGUCCCAAGGUAAGAAUGAGAGGAGCCACCUGCAGCCUAGGCCCUGAAGCCUCCGUGUCAGGCAAAGAAUGCAAGUGUUGGAAUCUGACCAAGUGAGGUUCGAAUCCUGUGGCUCAGUGACAGCUUUACUCCGUCUAAUUGCCACAAGAGCCUUUUGAGGCACUCUUGUUUUAUAGCUGAGAAAUCGGCCUCAGAGAGGUUAAGGAAUACCUCCUAGGGCUGUUGUGACAAUUAAUGGAGUAGAGCCCUCAGCAGCAUCUCAGCCAGGCCCUCAGUAAAUGUUACUGUAUCUACUUGUCAGUCAUCCCCCAUCCAGCCACCUUGCAUUCAUCUUGGUUCACAGAGGAAGAGAGAAGGGCUGAAAAUAUAUUACUACCAGAAUCUCAACCAGGGAUUUCCUACACCAGUGAGGUUUAUCCAGUAUUCCUUCUAAAAAUCCCUUCUCUUAAUUCCCUCUGUUUGGAGCUGAGCUCCUGAAGAGCUUUCACUUGUGAUAUCUUUCAGUACUUAAAAUGAUCCUUGCAUCAGGUAUUAUUAGCUGUCUUUCACAAGUCAGAAGCAGAGACCUGGAGAGCUGCACUGCUGUGUAGUCCCAGGACUAGAAGAUAUAGAGCUAGAACUUGGACCAGCCUACCCCACUUUUCCUAGAGAAUAUUGAUGCUGAUUUGGCUUUAAGGGCCCCAAACUUAGAGCCUCUGCAUUCAUUCACUCAGCAACAUUCCCUGUCUCCUAUUCUCCUGUGUCAGAGCUG